rnacentral:rRNA from 1 species
AUUGAACGCUGGCGGCAGGCCUAACACAUGCAAGUCGAGCGGAGCGGCGGACGGGUGAGUAAUGCCUAGGAAUCUGCCUGGUAGUUGGGGAUAACGUCCGGAAACGGGCGCUAAUACCGCAUACUAUCAGAUGAGCCUAGGUCGGAUUAGCUAGUUGGUGGGGUAAAGGCCUACCAAGGCGACGAUACGUAACUGGUCUGAGAGGAUGAUAAGUCAGACUGGAACGGAGACACGGUCCAGUCGCGUACGGGAGGCAGCAGUGGGGAAUAUUGCACAAUGGGGGCAAGACUGAUGCAGCCAGGCCGCGUGUGUGAAGAAGGCCUUCGGGUUGAAAAGCAAUUUCAGCGAGGAGGCGUUACUCGCAGAAGAAGCACCGGCUAACUCCGUGCCAGCAGCCGCGGUAAUAC